rnacentral:rRNA from 1 species
UGAGCAAUCUGCCCUUCACAUCGGAAUAACCAUUGGAAACGAUGGCUAAUACCGAAUAUGACUUCGGAUCGCAUGAUCUGAAGUGGAAAGCUCCGGCGGUGAAGGAUGAGCUCGCGGCCUAUCAGCUCGUUGGUGAGGUAACGGCUCACCAAGGCGACGACGGGUAGCUGGUCUGAGAGGAUGGCCAGCCCACAGUUGGGACUGAGACCGAGGCCCAACG